AGGCAAGGCAGUGUUGCCAGCCCUAAAUCAAUGGAAAUCUGAAGCCCUAAUCUUCACCCAAUUGUGCUUUGCCAUAUUUCUCUAUCAUCCAAUAAGAUUUUGACACACCUAGGUUACAAGGCUGUCUUGGAAGCCCUAAAUCUUUGCUUAUUUGAAACCCUAAUCCUUACCCAAUUAGCCUUUGACAUCUAUCUCCAUCCUCUAGGUUUGCAUUCAUUCAAAUAAUUUUUUGCCAGAUGUCUCAUAUGGACCUCUCCUAUAAUUGCUGGUUUAUGCAAACAACAGGUAUUGCUGGUUUAUGCAAACAACUGGCACAAAUGGUUUAUGGAAACAAUUGUGGUUUUAUGAUUUCCCAAUUUUUCUCAUUUGUGAAGUUUUUUUUCUCUCUCUUCCCCCUCUCUCUCUCGUACGCUCUGUUCUUUCUCACCUUCCUCUCACACUUUCAUCUCUCUUUCUCUCUGCACUCUCCAUCUCAUCCUUCACCAUAACAUCCACACAACAACCUCCACCACCAUCUAUGAAAUUGAGGCAAUGAAAUGAUGAAAUCGGGAAACAAUUUUGAAUUUUUAUGAAAAAAUGUUGAAAAUUGAUGGAUUAGGGUUUGGUUGAUUUAGGGAUCAAGACCAAGGCAGCGAUAGUGCCAACCUUGCAUGCAAGAAGCGAAGGAGAAAAGAAGAGCGCUCGCCGUUGUUGAAGGUGAAAGGGAGCGCAUGAAAUCGAAGAGGAAAAGGGUUUCUACCAUUCACGAAGAAGAUGAAUAUCUGAGGGAAAUUGGGAAGAAAGAGUUUGGGAAGAAAAGAAAGGGAGGAAAGGGAAAUAUGGCCGAGUGAGAAAAUAUUUGCCGGCGGGAGAGAAGUUCCGGCGAGGAGGAGGAGUUCCGGCCGAGAGAGUUCUUGUGGCGUAGGGUUGGGCAUUAAGGUUGCAAUCAAGUCGGAAUUUAUGAUCGCACCGCCGAUGGGAAUAAGCGCAGUUGAUUCUUCAGUUGCUGGUCUUGGUGGCUGUCCAUAUGCUAAGGGGGCUUCGGGAAAUGUAGCUACCGAAGAUGUUGUGUACAUGCUUAAUGGUCUUGGUGUGAAAACCAACGUCGAUAUUGAAAAGCUCAUGUCAGCCGGCGACUUCAUCGGCAAGCAUUUGGGGCGACCCUCUGGCUCAAAGACCGCCAUUGCCCUUAGCCGAGUCACUGCUGAUUCUUCUAAGAUAUGAAUUUUGUGUUAUUUUGUUCAAAACAAAGUUAAGUUUUGAUUUUUAAUGAUUUACGUUUUGUGGGGUCUGUUUGUUUGUGUUGGACACAGGUAGUUGAAGUUUCAACUUCCAAAACUGGAAAAACAUCAUGUUAAGUGUUGCUUUGUAGGUAUUGACAUCUUCACUGGCCAAAAACUUGAAAAUAUUGUUCCUUCUUCUCAUAACUGUGAUGUAUGAUUUUCAUUUUAAUAUGAGAUUAUCUUUUGGGUUUGGAUUAUAUUUUUAAUUAAUUGAUUAACUAAUGUGUGUUUGUUUGUUGUUACAACAGGUUCCUCAUGUCAAUGUGCUCAUAAACUUGCUUAAUCUUUCGCUUUUUUAGUUUUCUUUCAUAUUCAGAUUUGUCUCUGUUUUGCGGCUAGGAAAAUGAUGAAAACUCACGACCACAACCUUUCUAAUGGGAAGAGGUUCACAAAAUUAUGGUUUGAUUGUGUAAGUUUUCUAAACUUUAUUUGAUUGUAUUUGAGUAAUAUUUAGCUGAUGUUUGGGAUUUGAGUAAGUUUUCGUUUCAGAAUUCAAUUUUAUCAGAAAACUUGGGUUUGUUUUGAUUACCAGAAAAUGGAAUAUAGAGUUUCAGAAAUCAAUUAUCAGAGAUUGUUGUUCAUGAAUUUGAAAAAAAAGUAUGUCUUUUUUUAUUUGAAUUCCCUAUUUUUCUUCAAUUGUGUUUCUUAUAUCUGAUUUUAUAAUCCUCUCUCUAUUUUUAUUUUUUUUGUUUUGAAAUUAUUGUUGCUUAGUUGUCAUAUUUAUUAGGAUUUGUUUCUAUGUUUUAGUUAAUACUUAAUAAUAAUCACUACCUUUUAGGAGUUGUUAGUGGGAUUUAGAUGCUUAGUUGUCAUAUUUAUUAGGAUUUGUUUCUAUGUUUUAGUUAAUAAUAAUCACUACCUUUUAGGAGUUGUUAGUGGGAUUUAGAUGGUUUUCUCAAAUACAAUAUAAUUGAUUUGUUUUUGUUAAAUUUUAGAUUUUCUUUUUUUAGAUUUUGUAUCUUUUUUUUUUUUUUUAUUUGAUUUGUUUCAAUUUUAAUUUGUUUUAUUUGUUAUUCCACAUAAGAAAGAAAGUGAUAUGGAGAGGAACUGGAUUGGUGGUCCAACAAUGAUACUUAGUUCUAAGGAUCUGAGACUGUAUCUUCACUUGGCGCCGGAAUUUGCUCAUUAUAAGGGAAAUCACUUUUAUGUGCCUGUGACAAGAAAAGGAUAUUGGCAUGUUAAUUACUACAUAUAAUUUUUUUUCAUGUAUAGUAUUCUUUUUCGUAACCUUUUUUUUUUGUUUUUCUUUUCAGUUUGAUAUUGGAGAUGUAAUUAUUGAUGGUAAAUCCACUGAUAUUGUGUUGAUGGAUGUGCGACCAUUGCUGACUCGGGGACUUAUUUGUUGGCGGGUCGAAUGGAACCUUUGGUCCCUGCUUCUUCUUGGACACCAUGUUCUGAUCAGCGAAUUUGGGAACCUAAUGAGGGAAGUAAUGGAUACCAUUUGGUUAGUGCAAAUGGUGGGAUCAACCAACAACGGGUAGCUGUAGUACUAAGUUGAAAGUUGAAACUAAUCUUUAAGAAUAUGUCAUGGCAGCCAUGGUAAAGAUGCUGGCCGCUUCACUGCUGCUUGGGAACUUUACAAAGCUCAGGAGGAUGUUGUAGCUGCUUGCAAUGAUUACGGUAUUAAAGUUACACUGUUUCAUGGCCGUGGAGG